AGAGUUUGAUCCUGGCUCAGGAUGAACGCUGGCGGCGUGCCUAAUACAUGCAAGUCGAACGCACAGCGAAAGGUGCUUGCACCUUUCAAGUGAGUGGCGAACGGGUGAGUAACACGUGGACAACCUGCCUCAAGGCUGGGGAUAACAUUUGGAAACAGAUGCUAAUACCGAAUAAAACUCAGUGUCGCAUGACACAAAGUUAAAAGGCGCUUUGGCGUCACCUGGAGAUGGAUCCGCGGUGCAUUAGUUAGUUGGUGGGGUAAAGGCCUACCAAGACAAUGAUGCAUAGCCGAGUUGAGAGACUGAUCGGCCACAUUGGGACUGAGACACGGCCCAAACUCCUACGGGAGGCUGCAGUAGGGAAUCUUCCACAAUGGGCGAAAGCCUGAUGGAGCAACGCCGCGUGUGUGAUGAAGGCUUUCGGGUCGUAAAGCACUGUUGUAUGGGAAGAACAGCUAGAAUAGGGAAUGAUUUUAGUUUGACGGUACCAUACCAGAAAGGGACGGCUAAAUACGUGCCAGCAGCCGCGGUAAUACGUAUGUCCCGAGCGUUAUCCGGAUUUAUUGGGCGUAAAGCGAGCGCAGACGGUUGAUUAAGUCUGAUGUGAAAGCCCGGAG
rnacentral:rRNA from 1 species